rnacentral:lncRNA from 1 species
AUGAUGCAGUGCUGUAAAACCUUACCCUUGCCCUGUGCAGACAUGGAGUGGCAAGUGCAAACCCUGUCUCUGUCCAUCCCAGCUCCUUCCUUCCAAUGCAGUUUAACAAAGAGAGAGACACUGGGAACUCCUCAGAAGCCUUGGAGGAAGCAGACAUCCGAAAGUGAGCCAGAGACAAUGUAUGUGUAUAGGCAACUUGAUGAUUUGUCUCGUUCUGGAAAUAAUGUCUUAACACACAUGUCGACACAGAUGUGGGCCACUUGGAUCCUCCUUCAGGAGACACCCUGUCUGCAGUUGUUCACUCCUCCUGGACUGGUCCCAGCAUUUGAGCCACAGUCCCUUAUUCUAAGAGAAGCCCAGCCUGUACUGGCAAGUUUGUGCCAUAGCAACCUGGCUAUUUCCUCCAGCAUGGGACCUUCUAAUGGCCAGUGUUCUCUGCUACCUGCUGGGCUGCCAAAGAUUUUCUACUUAUGCAUUGUAAUUUGAGGGCUCUCCUUCAUGAUCCUGCUGUUUCUCCUUUUCUUUCACAGGUAUUAUUCCCCAGUAAAUCCAUUUGCUCUCCUAAGUUCUCCUUAUUGUCUACAUUCUGGAGAAUCUAGCCUGUUCACUCAUAUAGUUCUAGAAUUGAGAUCAUAUUGUAAGUACAGUAUACAUCUAUCUAUCUAUCUACAUAUAUAUAUUUAUUCUUUCAAUAAAAUUUUUCAUGUACCU